CAUCGCUACUCGUACGGCUCGCACCUGAUCUCCUGUCGACUAAAUAAUGUGUAAAAGUGCACAAAGUCCUAUAUUUUCGACGAAAAAUCGAGUAAUAUCGCAGCUAUUUCAGUGUUAAAAUAUUUUCAGCGGUACAGUUUACACGAGCCAUCGCGCUGGGAUUUUACGCAUAGUUCCGACUAACGAGUCUGGAAUAACAAAGAGGAGAAACGUCAAAAUUGGAACAGCCGAUUUGCUGUCAUCCCCAUAGUUCCAAUCGAGCAGGAGACCUGUCAAAACGACCAGGAUUCGCCACUUUGGUAUACUCGAGACACUUUAGUUCCGACAUGUAUUAAACGAUGGAGCAGGUCCUGUAGGAUUGCUGUAUCUGCCUGCGGAAUAGGAACAACUUCCUGUGCAUCUGCGACAAGACGAAUAUUUACUGAGCGCGUUGAUCAGAUCCUGGCCAGCUACUUUUGGUUCGAGGACGAGCAGGUCAUGCUGUACUCCAGCUGUUGGGAGAAGAUCGAUGAGUGUGCCGAAGAAAAAACGUGGUCGGAAGUGUAGGAAGCGGUCCAACUGUUGGACUCCAACAAGGAAGAGGAAGGGGACGGGGAUGAAGAGUGGAAGCCUUCGACCGAUGGGUUGAGAUUCCCGAUGCCUUUGCAGGUGAAGCUAGAUGUGGGGAAGUGUAAAAAAUACUCUAGAAUGUAAGUAUUAUAUCAUGCAUUUCUCACCCCUGUUAGCUAGUGCUUGUAUGUAUUUUGGCCAGGAUUGCUUUAUAACAAACUAGCUGUUCCGGCAAACGCCGUACUGCCUGCCUACCGUUUCGUCAUCUGUAUGGGAACCCUCCUUUCCAGAGAUGGGAGGAGUUCUGGUGUAAUGCUGUUACUUCUUACAAUGACUCGUGUUUUGAAGUGCUAAUCAAAGUUUCAGCUUUUUGCAACAUUCCGUUCCCCAUAUAUGUGUUUGGGAAGCUUCAGAACUCCAUUCCGGAUAAACGAGUCCAGCCUGUACUGUUACCAAAAGCAGUCACUCUCUUGCAAUAUGUAUGCCAAAAUAUUUCAGUAUUAUUUUUCUUCUUCGUAGCGAAUAUCCCCACUGAAAAAAAAACCCCGCUUUUCAGCUUUGUGUUCUAUCAAAGAUUUUUAAGUACUAAUAUACUAUUAGAUUCUAUGAGCACUUUCAUAGUUUGUAAAGAACUAGCAUAAGUUAAAAUUCACGAAAAUAAAAAAAAAAUAAUUAAAAAAAAAACUUCCAUAUAGGGUGACCAAGGAUAUUAUCGGCAGGAUUGUUCCCUUUGUCAUUAGAGGUUUUAGUCGGUCAACUUGCUUGAAACUUGGUCGUAUAAUUCUGCUUGCUUGGGAAGGAUUUGCGGCCAAUUGUGAGUUCAAGAGGUUUAUAAAAGCCCCCCAUGACGAACAAAAAAAAAAACGGCCCAAAAUACGUAAGUUCCCCUAGUUAUUGACUGAGAGUUUCCUCUGAUCGUUUUGCCUAUGUAUAUCGUGUGUCAGGCACGAAGAUACUCUAUGCCCAAGGAAGUCAAGGAAUUUUCAAUAAUUGUUAAUAGUUCCUGGACUGACCGGGAAUCGAAUCCGGUUACCUUCAACAUGAUCAUGCUGACACCCAUGCCCUAUUCCAGUCAUUGAAUCGAAUAAACGGUUGACAGCAUACGUGCCAACUUGUGGCCUAUGUGGGAGUGGGCAAGACAUCCCAAAAUUAAUUAAAUUCGGAAACAAUCGACGCAGUUGAUCUAAUUUAUAUACAAAUAUUUACGUGACAAUUAUUGCAUUGAGUUCAUGAAUUUUAUUCAAUUUUCAAGAGCGGCCCCCUUCUUUCGGGUACAAUUGAUCACUAUUUAUAGUUUUUUUUUUAAUCAUUAUAUAUUUCUAGACCAACAUGUGAAAAGGGCGGAAAAGCCAAAAUGUAAACAAAUAACUUUUCAGCAUAAUUUGAUGAAACAACUCAUGAACAUAUGAUUUUUCCUGACGUUAGCUCAAAAAUGAGUUUCCACUUAUGGAAAACAAUAAUUUAAAUAAAGGCGGAUUUCCACAUCUGAUUUUGAUCACUUCAUUUGGUUGUUCCGCCAAUGAUCUUGCGCCUUUGAAAAAAGCACAAAAAUGCACAAAAUUGUUAACACUGUUGAAUAAACAGUCGUGAACAGCAUCUCGCCAUUCAAAUUUAUCAAAUUUACACAAAACUUUUACUCCUACUUGAUUAAAGUCGCCCCUAAUUACUUACACCGUUAUUGAAAAGCCUUCGUCAUUACGUCGUGCUUCGGCGCCCAUUAAAAUGUCUGAGUGGAAAUCCGCCGCGCACUUAUUGCUCUUGUUGCGCACGGAUGGUUCUUACGCCCAAGAUCAAAUCGUGCGUUUUUCACCGUAAAAUUCAAUAAAGUCGCUGACUGACUGCAAUAAGUGGCGAUAAUAUGGCUUCAAUGUCUAUUCAGGAUAUAUUUUCUCCAAAGGACCCAGGUUUGGAUGAUAUGCAGCUGGUAAAGCUUCACUGAUAAAAACACAGACAAACAGACGUAACACUCUUCAGAACGACAUGGCACAUGCAUUUAACGAUCGAUUCGAAUUUCUUUUGCUUUCCGCGAUCCUUCCACCAGAGGCGCUAGUGUUUGAUCGCUUUGACGUUUGCCAGUGUACACGUUGCUGAAUGAUGCAAAUGAAACUUACAGGCGAUUUGUGUAGUAGUGUGCGUGUUAGACAAACGUCAAAUCGAAAUCCAUCAUGGCCGACAGUGUCUCGCGCGGUUCUACCAACAGGUGGCAGUGUGCUCAUGAGGAAGACACCGAGCAAAAGUUUUUGAUGAAUUUCCUCUAAGAGUUACGUCUGUUUGUCUGUGAUAAAAAUGUUAGCGAAUGGUCUCAAAUCUAUUGACCGGCAUAGGUCACAGCAGGUAGAUUCAGCAAAAGGUGAUAUUGGGAACCAGGCCCGUGCACAGAAAAGGCGACAAGGGAGGGGUUUUACCCAAUUUUAGCAAAGGGUGAAGGAGGCCUUGUGUAGAGAGUAUCGGCAAUGGGAGGAGUUUAACCCCCAAAACCCAUUCGUUGUGCACGGGCUUGUUGGGAACAUAAUAUGCUGCCUGCGCUUCCCCAUCGGUACUGUAGCUAUAUUUUUUUCAACGCGCAUUAUGGACAAUGGCAGGGACAACUCCCUCCUUUGCUGUACGAUACUAGAUAAACUGUAAAGAGAUCGUAGAUAAGAGCUAGAAUAUAGAUUUUAAUCGAAAUCUGAUUGCCAUUGCAUUUUACUCAUUGUUUUUUUACCACUCAUCGUAGGCAACGUCAAGAGAAAAUUUCCUUCCUCCUCCAUUGUUCAGUGUCAGAUAAACUUCAAUUAGUUACUUUUAGUUAAGAAAGCUUCAAAAUCAAUUUAUUGCAGUGGAUUAGGUUCAAAAUCUAUUGCAUUCCACUAAUUUCGAUACAAAAUUUCUUCGGGCGUAACAACAAAAGCGAUCGAUUCUAGGUAAUAUUGACCAGGCGUAAUUCCAGUGCUGGCGACCAAGCGGCGUAGCAUGUCGGGCGUAAUGACCAAUGAGUUUUUAUUUGGGCGUAAUUUUCAUUUCAUUCAUUUUCUUCAAGGAAAAACGCUAGUUUGUACUUUUUGACAUAAAAUCACCAAGAGGAUAGUGUUUUCUUCUAAAACAACGAAAAAGAUUGAGUGCACACGCACAAAGUGUUAAAUAGGAAUUAGUUUUAGGUUGUGAAACUUUGCAAGCGUUUUUCUCGAUUCUAACAUUUUGGAUAUCCGCCCUUUUCACAUGUUGGUCUAGAUUUGUUUUAAAAAUUUGUUUCAGGCACUUCCGAUAACCAUGGCUAGCUUGCGGUGCUUUACUCUAUCUUACUGGAGCUACUUCACCGGCCUCAUUUAUCAAAUGCUUUGUACACUUUUGGGUAAUAUUAAUAAAAAAAUGCGGUGGGUGGGGUGUUUCAUUGGACUCCAUAAGACAUCCGAAAUAACUUCGAGAUUCGGACUAGGGCAACUUACUAUACCAACAUAUUGCAAUUAGGAAGGUUAACUAUUAAAGUAACGAAAUUAAAUUAUCAAAGCGAAGUCCCGAAUCUCUACUCGUAAUGCAGGUGAGUUCGUGCAUGUCUGCAACAUGUUGGUAGGUAGCCAAGACAGAAUUAUUCGCCUUUGAAGUUUUUGGAGUAGUCUAUGAGAUAUUCUUCCUUGUAAUCAGCACAUGAGUUUUAGAUGAUCAUAGCCAUCAAAAUAGAACAGUUCUCUUUGAAAUUAUUCCUCAUAGGCGUCUGUCGCGUGAAAGGUUCACCAAUUCCUCUGAAGUUGUUUGGUGAAGAACAACACAUCUACUUUGAAAAUAGAACACUUAUCUCUGUAGCUAUUCCUCGUAGCUAUCAGAACUUGUCGAGUUGAAGGUUCACCAAGUCCUCUAAAGCUGUUUGGUGACGCACAAUACAUCUACUUUGAAUUUAUUCCUAACAGCCACCAAAAUUUAUUGUGUAUAAUUUUCACCAAGUCCUCCGAAGUUGCUUGGUGACGCACAAUACAUCUACCUCGAAAAUGUUUUGCUCGUAGCCAUCAGAACUUGUCGUGUACAAGGUUCACCAAGUCCUCUGGAGUUGUUUGGUGACGCACAAUACAUUUGCUUUGAAAACAGAACAAUUUAUCAUCGUAGUUUAGCCAUCAGAACUUGUCGAGUUGAAGGUUCACCAAGUCCUCUAAAUUUUGUUUGGUGACGUACAAAACAUCUACUUUGAAAAUAGAACAAUUACCUUUGUAGCUAUUUCUCGUAGCUAUUAGAAUUUGUCGUAUAACAGGUUCACGUAGUCCUCUGGAGUUGUUUGGUGACUCACAAUACAUCGAAUUUGAAAACAGAACAAUUUAUAAUCGUAGUUAUUCCUCAUAGCCAUCAGAACUUGUCGAGUUGAAGGUUCACCAAGUCCUCUAAAGUUGUUUGGUGACGCACAAUACAUCUACCUCGAAAAUAGAACAAUUCUCUAUGAAGUUAGUGUUCAUUGCCAUAAGAACUUGUCGUAAGGUUCACCAAGUCCUCUGGAGUUGUUUGGUGACUCACAAUACAUCGACUUUGAAAACAGAACAAUUCAUAAUCGUAGCUAUUCCUCAUAACCAUCAGAACUUGUCGAGGAGAAGGUUCACCAAGUCCUCUGGAGUUGUUUGGUGACGCACAAUACAUUUGCUUUGAAAACAGAACAAUUUAUCAUCGUAGUUUAGCCAUCAGAACUUGUCGAGUUGAAGGUUCACCAAGUCCUCUAAAUUUUGUUUGGUGACGUACAAAACAUCUACUUUGAAAAUAGAACAAUUACCUUUGUAGCUAUUUCUCGUAGCUAUUAGAAUUUGUCGUAUAACAGGUUCACGUAGUCCUCUGGAGUUGUUUGGUGACUCACAAUACAUCGAAUUUGAAAACAGAACAAUUUAUAAUCGUAGUUAUUCCUCAUAGCCAUCAGAACUUGUCGAGUUGAAGGUUCACCAAGUCCUCUAAAGUUGUUUGGUGACGCACAAUACAUCUACCUCGAAAAUAGAACAAUUCUCUAUGAAGUUAGUGUUCAUUGCCAUAAGAACUUGUCGUAAGGUUCACCAAGUCCUCUGGAGUUGUUUGGUGACUCACAAUACAUCGACUUUGAAAACAGAACAAUUUAUAAUCGUAGCUAUUCCUCAUAACCAUCAGAACUUGUCGAGGAGAAGGUUCACCAAGUCCUCUGGAGUUGUUUGGUGACGCACAAUACAUUUGCUUUGAAAACAGAACAAUUUAUCAUCGUAGUUUAGCCAUCAGAACUUGUCGAGUUGAAGGUUCACCAAGUCCUCUAAAUUUUGUUUGGUGACGUACAAAACAUCUACUUUGAAAAUAGAACAAUUACCUUUGUAGCUAUUUCUCGUAGCUAUUAGAAUUUGUCGUAUAACAGGUUCACGUAGUCCUCUGGAGUUGUUUGGUGACUCACAAUACAUCGACUUUGAAAACAGAACAAUUUAUAAUCGUAGUUAUUCCUCAUAGCCAUCAGAACUUGUCGAGUUGAAGGUUCACCAAGUCCUCUAAAGUUGUUUGGUGACGCACAAUACAUCUACCUCGAAAAUAGAACAAUUCUCUAUGAAGUUAGUGUUCAUUGCCAUAAGAACUUGUCGUAAGGUUCACCAAGUCCUCUGGAGUUGUUUGGUGACUCACUAUACAUCGACUUUGAAAACAGAACAAUUUAUCAUCGUAGUUAUUCCUCAUAACCAUCAGAACUUGUCGAGUUGAAGGUUCACCAAGUCCUCUAAAUUUUGUUUGGUGACAUACAAAACAUCUACUUUGAAAAUAGAACAAUUACCUUUGUAGCUAUUUCUCGUAGCUAUUAGAAUUUGUCGUAUAACAGGUUCACGUAGUCCUCUGGAGUUGUUUGGUGACUCACUAUACAUCGACUUUGAAAACAGAACAAUUUAUCAUCGUAGUUAUUCCUCAUAGCCAUCAGAACUUGUCGAGUUGAAGGUUCACCAAGUCCUCUAAAUUUUGUUUGGUGACAUACAAAACAUCUACUUUGAAAAUAGAACAAUUACCUUUGUAGCUAUUUCUCGUAGCUAUUAGAAUUUGUCGUAUAACAGGUUCACGUAGUCCUCUGGAGUUGUUUGGUGACUCACAAUACAUCGACUUUGAAAACAGAACAAUUUAUAAUCGUAGUUAUUCCUCAUAGCCAUCAGAACUUGUCGAGUUGAAGGUUCACCAAGUCCUCUAAAGUUGUUUGGUGACGCACAAUACAUCUACCUCGAAAAUAGAACAAUUCUCUAUGAAGUUAGUGUUCAUUGCCAUAAGAACUUGUCGUAAGGUUCACCAAGUCCUCUGGAGUUGUUUGGUGACUCACAAUACAUCGACUUUGAAAACAGAACAAUUUAUCAUCGUAGUUAUUCCUCAUAGCCAUCAGAACUUGUCGAGUUGAAGGUUCACCAAGUCCUCCGAAGUUGCUUGGUGACGCACAAUAUACAUCUACCUCGGAAAUAGAACAGUUAUCUUUAUUUGUAUUUAGUUAUUCCUUAUGUAUUUGCAUUCAGUUGUUCUUAUGCUAUUUUUUAUUAAUUUCAAUUUUAACAAACAAAAUUUUUUCCUAUCUUAGUUCAAUCGCUGCGAAAUCGGAUCAUUAUGGCAGCGAUGAACUGCGGCCGUUCCCAUAGUCCGUAAUGGUUUUCCUGCUUCUGCCACUCCUAAUAUUUGUACCACCGUUUCUCUCACUUUCUUACAUUAGGGGUCCCUCACAUGAUCGCGUCACCUCCUCCUAUUUCCUCGGGGAAGUAAGCGGUUGGCACAGGGAAAUAUGCGUACCGUAACGGUGGAGGGGCUUCCUUUUCUUUACAGGUCAUCGCUAGAACUUUUAUAAAAAAAAAUCGCAUGUUGUCUGUUGAAGGCCAAAGCGUUUCGAUGGUAUGAACCUUGUGGUGGCCGUCAAUUUGGGCAGUGAACUUAACGAUAUUGUUAUCCUCGUGCUUCUGGGUGGGUGGUGGCUUUGGCUGAUGCACCUUCACAGGUCGAAUACUCCCAGCAGCACAGCUUACUGCUGAAACCGCCUCGAAACGGAUGGGGAACGUGGUUCUGCUGUCUCCCCAGACCGAUACCCUUCCGGGCUCCACGUUAUUUUUUUCCACAAACCGUAACAACCUGGACGAUCGAUUGUUCAGUUUCGGUUAAUUUCCGUGGCCAUAAUCGACUUCAGCCUGCCUGCACGGAGAAGUGAAAAAAAUCGAUUGCGGUGAUCCGACGCUGCAUCAGUGACCCCUCCAGGCCUGCCUUUAAAUCCUCCGUUUCCAUGCAAGUCGAGUGCGGUGAAUCCGAAGUGUGCGCUUUAGACCGGACGUACCGUGUUGGAUUCGGCAUUGCAGCACUACGACAGUAUGUCACUAAUGGUACUGGACUGCCUCAGCAUCAUGGUCCUCAGUUCAACAUCUCUUAUACUUUCUGUGGACGGACAGAUUAUGUAAGGAUUCGUCAUGCUGGUUUUGCUUGGGAAUUUGCGUUCUUGCACUAUUUUUUUUGAGGCUAAAAGUAUUCGGAAUCCUAAGUUAAAUAUCAAAUCUAUAGACAAAUUGUUCGAAUUAACUGCCUGCAGAAAAUGGAGAUCAAACUACCACUGCCCCCGUACGUUGAGAAGUUGCUAUUAAGCGUCGAGGAAGAUCCAAACUUUAAACCAAAUGAAGUGAUCAAAAUCAGAUGUGGAAAUCCGCCUUUAUUUAAAUUAUUGUUUUCCAUAAGUGGAAACUCAUUUUUGAGCUAACGUCAGGAAAAAUCAUAUGUUCAUGAGUUGUUUCAUCAAAUUAUGCUGAAAAGUUAUUUGUUUACAUUUUGGCUUUUCCGCCCUUUUCACAUGUUGGUCUAGAUAUUUCCUAAGUAGAACAGUGAAAGGAGCAAAGAAAUAAAGCAAACUUUUCCUCUAUUUCCACCAACCGUGUAGUAGCUACACAUAGGUAAACUUGCGUUCUCCUCCGUAGACCAUUUCAAGUAGCUUCUGGAAUAAUGAGAAACAAUAAAUAGAACGUAGAGCCGAACUCUUUCCGAAAGUAGCCAAGGCUACUCUAAGGUAAAACUACAGGUAAAACCAAACUUUCGGACGGAAGCUAAUGUAGUUCAUAGGUACAGAGACUGCAGAGACAAAAAACGGAUAUGACAUUAAACCAAACAUAAAAAAAAACUUUACUAUAUUUUAGAAUUAGACAACGGUUGUUCGCCGACGACAAGACCGGAAGCAAAAUUGUUCGACUAAACGAGUAAGCGCUAGGCAUAUUUUUGUACCAAAUCGAUUCGCCAACUUUUAUACAUUUGAAGACAAAUGGAUUCAAUGGAAAACAACAGGCUAAAAUCCGGGGAUCGAUGGUGGAGAAUGUGGCCGACCGUGUAUGUUGUAAGAAAUAAAGAAAAAAAAAAUCCUGUACUCAACAAAUGAUAUCGGUAACAAUACCCGUAUGAUGUUUUUUUCUCCUUUUUCUAACAUUUUUUCGGCCUAGAGGGCGGAAACCCUCAGCCGACUAGAAAUAUAAUUACCUACAAAAAAAAAACUGAAAUUUAAAUCGUUCGUGUAAAAUAUGAGAUUGCAUUCGUCGAUGUGAAUUUUGUUACAGAGUAGCGAAAUCGUUCGUCAACUUAAUCGCUGAGAUGCGCUAGGAGAAAUGGGAAAAGCAUAUUGCUGGUUGCUUUCCAAGAUGGAUUUUUGAUGCACUUCGCCUAUCACACUAUUUUUGUGCUCGGGCACGGUUGCCGACAUCAAUAUCGAGAAUUCCACGUUUCACAAACUUUUUCCAUGAGAAGAAACACACAAACCUGCAUAGCUGGCCGCCCGGCUACGACUCUCGGUGAGAAAAAAAGAGAGAAGGUCGAUUCGGAGAGUUGAUGAUGGAUGAGAAUCAAAACAAAACCGAAGAAGAGUCAGGCGAAUCACUCACCACGUGCUAAUGUUUGACAUUUCUCGACGUCAAAAUGCUGUCAGACAGGCCGAUUGCACUUAUCGUCACACUUUUCAACCAUCACACUUUCAAACUGUGCAGUCCAAUUUGGUGUGAACUGUGCAAUAUAAUCGUGUAACAUUUCAGUGCAAUAUGGGUUAAGAAAAAUGAAAAUAAAAAAGUAUUUGAAUAAAAAAAAGUUAGAUAGACAUAUCAUGAUAUAUUGAAAGUACUUACUAAAACUGCAAAUUAAGCAUGACUUACAAACUUCAACCGUAUGUAAUG